UACGUAGGGUGCAAGCGUUGUCCGGAAUUAUUGGGCGUAAAGAGCUUGUAGGCGGUUUGUCGCGUCUGCUGUGAAAUUUCGGGGCUCAACCCCGAACUUGCAGUGGGUACGGGCAGACUAGAGUGUGGUAGGGGAGACUGGAAUUCCUGGUGUAGCGGUGAAAUGCGUAGAUAUCAGGAGGAACACCGGUGGCGAAGGCGGUUCUCUGGGCCUUACCUGACGCUGAGGAGCGAAAGCGUGGGGAGCGAACAGG
rnacentral:rRNA from 1 species